CCAAGACUCACAAGUUCAUAAUGCUUUCAUUGUUAAAAAGUUAUGAGAUCUCUAGUAGGGCCAAGCCCCUAGCUGAGCUUAGAUUUGCGCUGCCCAUGGGACCUAUCCCAAGUCCAAAAUACAUAUAGCUCUUAAGUGCUCUUCAGUAUAUCACAUUUAUAUCAAUAAAUAACAAAUAACUCUACUUACAAGCUCUGACUCUACAAACUCUACAUCUUAGUUAAAAAAGUACGGCUUGGCCGUUUAAUAUUAAAAUCUUGAAAAUGUAUA